rnacentral:rRNA from 1 species
UACGGGGGGGGCAAGCGUUGUUCGGAAUUACUGGGCGUAAAGGGCUCGUAGGUGGCCAACUAAGUCAGACGUGAAAUCCCUCAGCUUAACUGGGGAAUUGCGUCUGAUACUGGAUGGCUUGAGUUUGGGAGAGGGAUGCGGAAUUCCAGGUGUAGCGGUGAAAUGCGUAGAUAUCUGGAGGAAGACCAGUGGCGAAGGCGGGUCUCUGGACAGUUCCUGACGCUGAGGCACGAAGGCCAGGGGAGCAAACGGG